rnacentral:rRNA from 1 species
CGGACGACGCUGGCGGCGUGCCUAACACAUGCAAGUCGAACGGGGGGAACAUGAAGUAUUUCGGUACGGAAUGCGCCCCUAGUGGCGAACGGGUGAGUAACACGUGGGCAACCUGCCCCAGACUGGGGGAUAACAUUGUGAAAACAGUGCUAAUACCGCAUGACAGGGCUCCGGGCAUCCGGGACCCUUGAAAGGAGAAAUCCGGUCAGGGAUGGGCCCGCGUCCAAUUAGCUAGUUGGCGGGGUAACGGCCCACCAAGGCGACGAUUGGUAGCCGAACUGAGAGGUUGAUCGGCCACAUUGGGACUGAGACACGGCCCAGACUCCUACGGGAGGCAGCAGUGGGGAAUAUUGGGCAAUGGGCGAAAGCCUGACCCAGCGACGCCGCGUGAAGGAUGAAGGUCUUCGGAUUGUAAACUUCUUUGAUCAGGGAAGAAAGAAAUGACGGUACCUGAAAAACAAGCCACGGCUAACUACGUG